rnacentral:rRNA from 1 species
UACAGAGGUCCCAAGCGUUGUUCGGAUUCAUUGGGCGUAAAGGGUGCGUAGGCGGCGCGGUAAGUCGGGUGUGAAAUCUCGGGGCUUAACUCCGAAACUGCAUUCGAUACUGCCGUGCUUGAGGACUGGAGAGGAGACUGGAAUUUACGGUGUAGCGGUGAAAUGCGUAGGUAUCGUAAGGAAGACCAGUGGCGAAGGCGGGUCUCUGGACAGUUCCUGACGCUGAGGCACGAAGGCCAGGGGAGCAAACGGGG